rnacentral:tRNA from 1 species
GUCAGGAUAGCCCAGUUGGUAGAGCAGAGGACUGAAAAUCCUCGUGUAACCAGUUCAAAUCUGGUUCCUGGCA